rnacentral:lncRNA from 1 species
UGAAUAUAGUAGAUAAUAAAUAUUUUUCUAUAAAGUUCAAAUUUUAUAUAUUGUUUCUGUAAAAGUUCUGAUUUUUUAAAUAUAUUUCUAUUAUUACAAUUUAUUAGAAAAUUUUAGUUAGCUAUAGGUUAAAUACUUAACUUUGAUUACUUUUUGACAUUUUUACCCCUCUUAUAUUAUAUUAUUAUGACUUUUAGAGAGGUAUGUUUGUGAUGACAAAAUUAAAAAUAUAAACAGUUCUCUAACUGUUUUCUAACAGUAACAAAUCAGAGAGACAUAUUUGAAAAUAACAGAACUUUUACAGAAAUAAUAUAUGAAAAUUAAAUUUUGUAAAGAUAUAUUUAUCAUUCAUUAUAUUUGUAGGAAUAUGUACGAAAUUAAUCCGUUACUUUUUCUUUCUCAGUGACAACA